GACGAACGCUGGCGGCGUGCUUAACACAUGCAAGUCGAACGGAAAGGCCCUGCUUUUGUGGGGUGCUCGAGUGGCGAACGGGUGAGUAACACGUGAGUAACCUGCCCUUGACUUUGGGAUAACUUCAGGAAACUGGGGCUAAUAACGGAUAGGAGCUCCUGCUGCAUGGUGGGGGUUGGAAAGUUUCGGCGGUUGGGGAUGGACUCGCGGCUUAUCAGCUUGUUGGUGGGGGAGUGGCUUACCAAGGCUUUGACGGGUAGCCGGCCUGAGAGGGUGACCGGCCACAUUGGGACUGAGAUACGGCCCAGACUCCUACGGGAGGCAGCAGUGGGGAAUAUUGCACAAUGGGCGGAAGCCUGAUGCAGCAACGCCGCGUGCGGGAUGACGGCCUUCGGGUUGUAAACCGCUUUCGCCUGUGACGAAGCGUGAGUGACGGUAAUGGGUAAAGAAGCACCGGCUAACUACGUG
rnacentral:rRNA from 1 species